rnacentral:piRNA from 1 species
UCCUCAGUGAUCUGACCUCUUCGGCUGCCU